rnacentral:SRP_RNA from 1 species
GCCAGGCAUGGUGAUGCGUGCCUGUAAUCCUAGCUACUUGGGAGGCUGAGGCAGGAGAAUCGCUUGAACCCAGGAGGCAGAGGUUGCAGUGAGCUAAGAUCACGCCACUGCACUCCAGCCUGGGUGAUAGAGCAAGACUCUGACUCAA